CGACAAGAGAGAGCCCAGAGCUUACGUUUGAGAACUAUACGUUCUUCAUCCAUUAGUUAUAGUCAAGAGUCUGGAGCAGCAGCUGAUGAUAUAAAGCCAUGUCCACGAUGUGCUGCUUAUAUAAUAAAGAUGAAUGAUGGGAGCUGCAAUCACAUGACAUGUGCUGUUUGUGGUUGUGAGUUUUGUUGGUUGUGUAUGAAAGAAAUCUCAGAUUUGCAUUAUCUAAGUCCAUCAGGAUGUACUUUUUGGGGGAAGAAACCCUGGAGCCGAAAGAAGAAAAUAUUGUGGCAACUGGGAACACUGGUUGGUGCUCCUGUCGGAAUCGCUUUAAUAGCUGGCAUUGCUAUUCCUGCAAUGAUUAUUGGCAUUCCUGUGUAUGUGGGCCGCAAGGUAAAAUGCAUACUUCUUGUUAGUCCAUUAUCUUAUUCUAAAUCUUUAGGUGUAUUCUUUUAGUAUUGAUGAUUUUUGGGUUUUUUUUUUUUUUUUUUUUUAGACAAAGGGUAUCUUUAGUUUCUUCAGUAUAAAACAGUUACUCUUUUUUCAUAAAUUUUUAGUGUUUGGCAAGCAUAUA
rnacentral:lncRNA from 1 species